rnacentral:rRNA from 1 species
GCGGUACAGAGGGUCGCUACUCAGUGAUGAGAUGCCAAUCCCAAAAAGCCGUUCUCAGUUCGGAUUGAAGUCUGCAACUCGACUUUAUGAAGCUGGAAUCGCUAGUAAUCGCGUAUCAGCUAUGACGCGGUGAAUACGUUCCCGGACCUUGUACACACCGCCCGUCAAGCCAUGGGAGUCGGGGAGACCUGAAGCGGUAGGUUAAAGACACCGUUAGGGUAAAAUCGGCGACUGGGGCUAAGUCGUAACAAGGUAGCCGUACCGGAAGGUGCGGCUGGAACACCUCCUUUCUGGAG